GUAGGUGAACCUGCGGAGGGAUCAUUACCGAGUGAGGGCCUCCGGGUCCGACCUCCAACCCUUUUGUCGUUACCAACCUUCGUUGCCUCGGGGGCGACCCGGCCUCGGCGUCGGGGCCCCCGGUGGACCCAACCAACCCACUCUGCGUCUCUGCGUCUGAGGAUAAAGUAAAUCAAUUUAAAACUUUCAACAACGGAUCUCUUGGUUCUG
rnacentral:misc_RNA from 1 species